AAGCGGGAAAAGCUCAGACUGAAAAUCUUCGGAAUUGUAGUCUGGAGAAGUAUGGUCAGCCGAUGAUAGUGGGCGAAGUCUUCUGGAAAGGAGCGCCUUGGAGGGUUAUAGCCCCGUUCAUGCCUACUAUUAGAAGCGUACGACCUGCUUUCUACGAGUCGAGUUGUUUGGGAUUGCAGCUCUAAGUGGGUGGUAAAUUCCAUCUAAAGCUAAAUAUUGGUGGGAGACCGAUAGCGAACAAGUAC
rnacentral:rRNA from 15 species